UCACGCAACUAAUAUCGGGUGUCU
rnacentral:siRNA from 1 species